GCUCUAUCCAGAUCCCUGCCUGAGUCAUCCGGACAGCUCUCACAUAGUUGGAGGUUCUCUGUCUUGAGGCUACUUAUCACUCUCCAGCCAGACCACUUACCAGCUUCCUCAGAAGCCCCUGCAUUAUAAUUCUUUCUAGAUACUUCCCUCACAUGGUGGUGCCUUCUGCGAUCUUGAGAAGUGUCCUGCUGCAAUGGGUUGCUAGUUACUUUAGUAAUGUGCUGAUGCCUGGAGAAAGUCUAUCGAGUGCUCUGCAGCGAUAAACCACACGGUCAGUGAUGCCUGGAAUUCUCCAGUGAGAGAGGAUGCCUGGCUCGCAGGAGGCUGAAUUGCACUGUUGCUUUACACAGCUGGAGGAGGGGAAGGUUUCCCAAAGUGAAUAUGCAUCUGCUACUGUGGUCUUCCAGGAUGGUUUUCCUAGGUCACACACUUGCCAUGAGGUGAACAGCAUUGCUACAUGGUACCAUCCUGAGGCAAACAGCAUUGUUACUCCAUAUCAUCCUGUGUCCAUGCUGCUUUACUUCACCACAGCAAUGGAAUACAACAGCCAUGCACUACACCAUAUUUUGACACAACAACAAUGAGUGGCUUACACAAGGGCCAUGCCCCUGGAGUCAGGCAACUGCAUCUUUUGUCUUCUAACCUUUGGCCUGCCCUCAUGAAACAAGUGGAGGCAGAACUUGUAUUAAUCAGGAUGCUGUAAAGGAACAGAACUGAUUGAAUGUGGUGUGUGUGUGUGUGUGUGUGUGUGUGUGUGUGUGUGUGUGUGUGUGUUGUGUAUGAGGUGAGGGUGGGAUUUAAAUGCAGUCUGUGUUCCAUGUAAUCCAACAAUUUAAAGACCAGAAAUCUGGUAGCUGUUCAGCAGUCCCAAUCUGGUGUUGGAGUGCCAGAAGAUUCCCAGAGAGCCACUGGGCUGCAAUCUACAUUGGAAUCCUAAAGAAGUAGGUUCUAGUAUUGGGGAAGGAAUGCCUUGGAAACAGGAUAGACGGAACUUGCCAUCAAGGGUGAGGGCAAGCAGGCUAAAACCAAAAGCUUCCUUCUUCCUUGUCCAUUUCUGUGGGCUUCCACCUUAAGGUAUGGCACAGAAUUGUCAUAAUUCUUCCCAUCACAAAUGACAUAGUCAAUAAAAUUUGGGUUUUGGUGGACUUUGGGGAGCCC
rnacentral:lncRNA from 1 species